rnacentral:rRNA from 1 species
UACGUAGGCAGCGAGCGUUGUUCGGAAUUACUGGGCGUAAAGCGUGCGCAGGCGGUUGUGCAAGACAGAUGUGAAAUCCCCGGGCUCAACCUGGGAACUGCAUUUGUGACUGCACGGCUGGAGUGCGGCAGAGGGGGAUGGAAUUCCGCGUGUAGCAGUGAAAUGCGUAGAUAUGCGGAGGAACACCGAUGGCGAAGGCAGCUCGCUGGGACGUUACUGACACUGAGGCGCGAAAGCGUGGGGAGCGAACAGG